CCUUGAAAUACCACCCUUUAAUGUUUGAUGUUCUAACGUUGACCCGUGAUCCGGGUUGCGGACAGUGUCUGGUGGGUAGUUUGACUGGGGCGGUCUCCUCCUAAAGAGUAACGGAGGAGCACGAAGGUUGGCUAAUCCUGGUCGGACAUCAGGAGGUUAGUGCAAUGGCAUAAGCCAGCUUGACUGCGAGCGUGACGGCGCGAGCAGGUGCGAAAGCAGGUCAUAGUGAUCCGGUGGUUCUGAAUGGAAGGGCCAUCGCUCAACGGAUAAAAGGUACUCCGGGGAUAACAGGCUGAUACCGCCCAAGAGUUCAUAUCGACGGCGGUGUUUGGCACCUCGAUGUCGGCUCAUCACAUCCUGGGGCUGAAGUAGGUCCCAAGGGUAUGGCUGUUCGCCAUUUAAAGUGGUACGCGAGCUGGGUUUAGAACGUCGUGAGACAGUUCGGUCCCUAUCUGCCGUGGGCGCUGGAGAACUGAGGGGGGCUGCUCCUAGUACGAGAGGA
rnacentral:rRNA from 1 species